rnacentral:rRNA from 1 species
AUACAGAGGGUGCAAGCGUUAUUCGGAAUUACUGGGCGUAAAGCGCGCGUAGGCGGACUGUUAAGUCGGUUGUGAAAGCCCUGGGCUCAACCUAGGAACUGCAUCCGAUACUGGCAAUCUAGAGUUUAAGAGAGGGAAGUGGAAUUCCAGGUGUAGCAGUGAAAUGCGUAGAUAUCUGGAGGAACAUCAGUGGCGAAGGCGACUUCCUGGCUUAAAACUGACGCUGAGGUGCGAAAGCUUGGGUAGCGAACGGGAUUAGAUACCCCGGUAGUCCAAGCCGUAAACGAUGUCAACUAGCUGUUGGUCUUAUUAAAAAGAUUAGUAGCGUAGCUAACGCGAUAAGUUGACCGCCUGGGGAGUACGGUCGCAAGAUUAAA